rnacentral:rRNA from 1 species
UUUCGCAAUGCCCGAAAGGGUGACGAAGCGACGCCGCGUGAGCGAAGAAGGCCUUAGGGUUGUAAAGCUCUGUCGAGGAUUAUGAAACGUAGAUGAGUUAAUACCUCAUUUAUUUGACAAAGGCCCCAAAGGAAGUCACGGCUAACUCUGUGCCAGCAGCCGCGGUAAUACAGAGGUGGCAAGCGUUGUUCGGUAUUAUUGGGCGUAAAGAGCACGUAGGUGGUUUUGUAAGUCAGAUGUGAAAGCCUUCUGUUCAACGGAAGAAUUGCAUCUGAAACUGCGAGUCUUGAGUGUAGGAGGGGAGAAUGGAACUUCUGGUGGAGCGGUGAAAUGCGUAGAUAUCAGAAGGAACGCCGGCGGCGAAAGCGAUUCUCUGGCCUAUUACUGACACUCAGUGUGCGAAAGCUAGGGGAGCAAACGGGAUUAGAUACCCCGGUAGUCCUAGCCGUAAACGAUGGGCACUAAGUAGAGGGGUUUU